AGUGAACGCUGGCGGCGUGCCUAAUACAUGCAAGUCGAACGAAGUGGCGCACGGGUGAGUAAUAUAUAGUUAAUCUGCCCUACACAGAGGAACAACAGUUGGAAACGACUGCUAAUACCUCAUAGUGUAGGAUGAGACUAUAUCGUAUCAGCUAGUUGGUAAGGUAAUGGCUUAUCAAGGCUAUGACGCGUAACUGGUCUGAGAGGAUGAUCAGGAACAUUGGAACUGAGACACGGGUCAAAAUCCGUCGGGAAGGAGCGGUAGGGAAUAUUGCGCAAGGGGGGUGACCCCGACGCAGCAACGCAGCGUGGAGGAGGACACUUUUCGAAGCGUAAACUCCUUUUAUCAGGAAAGCGGUACCUGAUGAAUAAGCACCGGCUAACUCCGUGCCAGCAGCCGCGGUAAUAC
rnacentral:rRNA from 1 species